GGGCAUCCCCUCUGCCCCAUGUUCCUCUCUGCUCCCAGCACCUGCCUUCCUGGCUGGUGGCCACACCUUGCCACUGCCCAGGAUCCAUGCUGGUUGCCACCUACACACUGGAAAUGCUGUGGCUGGUAACUGCUGAGCACCGGGCUGCAGAAUCUCAGUCCAGGAGUUGGUGACUUGGCAAGUCACUCUGCCUUGGUCAAUCAGGCUUGGGUCAAGAGGCCAUCACACAGUUCAUAGGGAUGCUGUUCACAAGCACUUCUGUUGGAAAAUUCUCUGACCAGCUCACCUGGAGCAGAAAGCAGAACCUCCAGAAUCCCUGCAUUGGCUGCCACUCACGGUGUGGAGGAAAUGAUGAUAUCUUGAAUGUGUGGGACCACAUCUGAAGAGGAACACUGACCAACCGCAGAGUAUCCUUGAAGGAGCAAUCAAGAUAAAGACGGAUGAAAAUCCCAAGAAUGGAAAACAAACAUCACCAUUUAUUCCCAAAUGGUAGACGGAGCUUCAGAUGAAUCUAUGUCACAUCAUUAUACGGAAGGCCAAUUUUCUUCAAAGUCAGUAAAAAGCAACCUCCUGAAAGACAGAUAAUGUGAAGGGCCACUUUGGCUGCCUCAAAACUGGCAUAUCGGUCUUGCCUGUAACCCAUUGCAAUUGUUCCUACAUUGGGGUAAAGUUAAAUAUUCAUUCAGUUAUUUUUUUUUCAUUUAACUGAAGAAUUGGAAAUCACCCUGCUGUCAGUUAGACUGUAAUAAACAGUGUUUCUAACCAAAC
rnacentral:lncRNA from 1 species